GGAAAGGAGAAAGCAAUCUGUUUGUUUGUUUUUAGCUUGUCUUUAUUUUUCACCAUUCAACUCUAUUUUUAACACCCAAGAGAGACCUCUUACCCAGCAUCUGAUCUUUACAGCGAGAUCUGACACUAGAAGACCUCCAUUAUCUGAACAUUUUGAUUUCAUUCACAGAAAUAACUUUUGGCAGAGAGUAAUGAAGAUGGUGUAACUUGACUCUGGAAAGGAGGGACUCAGAGUUC
rnacentral:lncRNA from 1 species